rnacentral:rRNA from 1 species
UGGGAACGUACCCUUCGGUUCGGAAUAACCCGGGGAAACUCGGGCUAAUACCCGGAUACGUCCGUAAGGAGAAAGAUUUAUCGCCGAAGGAUCGGUCCGCGUCGGAUUAGCUAGUUGGUGAGGUAACGGCUCACCAAGGCGACGAUCAGUAGCUGGUCUGAGAGGAUGAUCAGCCACAUUGGGACUGAGACACGGCCCAAACUCCUACGGGAGGCAG